rfam:Streptococcus pseudoporcinus LQ 940-04 Contig1216510748, whole genome shotgun sequence.
CAUCCUGUGCAACCGCGCGAAAAUCGUUCGAAAGUGGAUAUAUCCCACGAUUCUAGGCGAGUCUUCACAGAGGG